rnacentral:rRNA from 1 species
UGGAUUAGUGGCGAACGGGUGAGUAACACGUGAGCAACCUGCCCCUGACUCUGGGAUAAGCGCUGGAAACGGCGUCUAAUACUGGAUAUGUCCCAUCACCGCAUGGUGUGUGGGUGGAAAGAUUUUUCGGUUGGGGAUGGGCUCGCGGCCUAUCAGCUUGUUGGUGAGGUAAUGGCUCACCAAGGCGUCGACGGGUAGCCGGCCUGAGAGGGUGACCGGCCACACUGGGACUGAGACACGGCCCAGACUCCUACGGGAGGCAGCAGUGGGGAAUAUUGCACAAUGGGCGGAAGCCUGAUGCAGCAACGCCGCGUGAGGGAUGACGGCCUUCGGGUUGUAAACCUCUUUUAGCAGGGAAGAAGCGAGAGUGACGGUACCUGCAGAAAAAGCACCGGCUAACUACGUGCCAGCAGCCGCGGUAAUACGUAGGGUGCAAGCGUUAUCCGGAAUUAUUGGGCGUAAAGAGCUCGUAGGCGGUCUGUCGCGUCUGCUGUGAAAUUCCGAGGCUCAACCUCGGGCUUGCAGUGGGUACGGGCAGACUAGAGUGCGGUAGGGGAGAUUGGAAUUCCUGGUGUAGCGGUGGAAUGCGCAGAUAUCAGGAGGAACACCGAUGGCGAAGGCAGAUCUCUGGGCCGUAACUGACGCUGAGGAGCGAAAGGGUGGGGAGCAAACAGGCUUAGAUACCCUGGUAGUCCACCCCGUAAACGUUGGGAACUAGUUGUGGGGUCCUUUCCACGGAUUCCGUGACGCAGCUACGCAUUAAGUUCCCCGCCUGGGGAGUACGGCCGCAAGGCUAAAACUCAAAGGAAUUGACGGGGACCCGCACAAGCGGCGGAGCAUGCGGAUUAAUUCGAUGCAACGCGAAGAACCUUACCAAGGCUUGACAUACACGAGAACGGGCCAGAAAUGGUCAACUCUUUGGACACUCGUGAACAGGUGGUGCAUGGUUGUCGUCAGCUCGUGUCGUGAGAUGUUGGGUUAAGUCCCGCAACGAGCGCAACCCUCGUUCUAUGUUGCCAGCACGUAAUGGUGGGAACUCAUGGGAUACUGCCGGGGUCAACUCGGAGGAAGGUGGGGAUGACGUCAAAUCAUCAUGCCCCUUAUGUCUUGGGCUUCACGCAUGCUACAAUGGCCGGUACAAUGGGCUGCAAUACCGUGAGGUGGAGCGAAUCCCAAAAAGCCGGUCCCAGUUCGGAUUGAGGUCUGCAACUCGACCUCAUGAAGUCGGAGUCGCUAGUAAUCGCAGAUCAGCAACGCUGCGGUGAAUACGUUCCCGGGUCUUGUACACACCGCCCGUCAAGUCAUGAAAGUCGGUAACACCUG